GACGAACCGUGCGAACGUUAUUCGGAAUCACUGGGCUUAAAGCGCGUGUAGGCGGGACGGCACGUCGGUCGCUGAAAUCCCGGGGCUCAACCUCGGAACUGCCUUUGAUACUGCAAAUCUCGAGUCCGGAAGAGGUGAGUGGAAUUCCUAGUGUAGAGGUGAAAUUCGUAGAUAUUAGGAAGAACACCAGUGGCGAAGGCGGCUCACUGGACCGGUAUUGACGCUGAGGUGCGAAAGCGUGGGGAGCGAACAGG
rnacentral:rRNA from 1 species